AACGAACGCUGGCGGCAGGCUUAACACAUGCAAGUCGAACGCGUGUAGCAAUACACGAGUGGCGCACGGGUGAGUAACGCGUGGAUAUCUGCCUUUUGGUUCGGAAUAACCCCGGGAAACUGGGGGCUAAUACCGGAUGGUUCCUUCGGGAUAAAGAUUUAUCGCCAAAAGAUGAGUCCGCGUACGAUUAGCUAGUUGGUGAGGUAAUGGCUCACCAAGGCGACGAUCGUUAGCUGGUCNGAGAGGACGAUCAGCCACACUGGGACUGAGACACGGCCCAGACUCCUACGGGAGGCAGCAGUGGGGAAUAUUGGACAAUGGGGGCAACCCUGAUCCAGCCAUGCCGCGUGAGUGAUGAAGG
rnacentral:rRNA from 1 species